UGUGAGAUAAUAGUCUUGAUCCAUUCAGGCUACCAUCACAAAACCACCCUAAACCGGAUGGCUUGUGAACAACAGAAAUCUAUUUCACACUACUCUGAAGGCUGGGAAGUUGAGGAUCAAGGUUCCAGCAGAUCUUAUGUCUGGUGAGGCGCCAUACACAUGGUGAUUCCUCCCUGUAUCCUCACAUACGGGUCUCUUUCAGGACUCUUUGGAAGGGCACUAAUCCCAUUCAUGAGGACUCUGCCCUCAGGAUGUAAUCACCUUCCAAAGCCCCACCUCUUAAUGCGUUCACCUGUGGUUUAGGUGUCAAUACAUGAAUUUGCAAACAUUCAGGCCAUUGCAGGGAGCCUGAAGAGACAGCAGUGAUAGGACCUGGGGUUCCUGGGCUCUUUCUUGUAAGUGGAUAUCCUUGGCUUUUCAAAGUAAGGCCAUUAAUAUUUAAAUUUGACUUAAUUUUAUUUGGAACAUUUAACAGUAUCCACUGAUCCCUUCCAGUUGCAGUGAGAUCCCUAGAAAAAGAAAAACUCUCGCAGUAUUCUGGCAAUAUGAGAGGACAUUCAUCUUACAACCUAAAAAUCGUCUUAUUUACUAAAUGCGUAUUUUGAGUCUAUCAACCUUCCAUGUUGAAUUACGGCCCUUUUCUUCUUCUGUGAAAGAUGCAUCCUGUCAGUGGGCAGUACUGGAGGGAGCUGGGCAGCGGGCAGAUCUGGGUGGGAGAGAGAGAAGAGCAGAGGCCGCAUAUGGUUUAGAAAGAAGACGAAAUGCCUGUCAGGAACUCGGGGCUUCCAGAAGUGAUUCUGAUAUCCAGCAAUCUCUGCACAGGUGAUUUUAAGGAAUUUAAGGAUUUUAAGAAAUUUAUUUAUAUUUAUUUUUUAAGAGUGUCUACCAGACAAUAAAACAUGAUGUGCCAACGUGGAUUUAGUAGGUAGAGAAAUUGGCAAGUGUGUGCGUGCAUAGCUGCAUGUGGCUUGGGAGGGGGUUGGAUUGGAUUUGCUCCUUUACAAAAGGAGUCUUCAAUUUGUAGAAGGAACCACACUGGGCUUGCUGUAUAAGGAACUCCCUUAGGCAUUUAUUAUGCUCCGUGAUUGGUAACAAUGAGAUUUGCAUCCAUUGUUUUUUCAGGAAGUUACUAAGCAAAGCAAGGAACAGCCUCCUAGGAGGGGCCAAGGUAGAGUCGUCUGAGUUUUUGAAAGACUACUGAACCUGAAACGCAGCUUGGGAAAGUGAGGCCUGAGGAAAUGUGACCAGGAUGUGCAAAUUGGCCGAAGGUAGCACCUGAGCUAACUGCAGGGCUAGAGAGGAGCCAAGAACAAGGAGAGUAAAGUUUACCUGGCUUACUGAACAGGUGUCGUCUCUGACAUCCGUCACUAAACACAGAGCUGAGACAGAUGUGAUUUCCUCCUUCUCAUGGGGUUGCUGUUUGCAUUGGACAUCAGGGUGUUCUGAGGCUGGCAGGGCGGGAGGAGGGAUGUGGCCAUGCUCUGGCUUGUUGGGGCUCAGGCCCCCACGACCUUUGCCUGUGGGCACAGUCUAGAAAAGGGUGAGUCACUGCACACCUGGGCUCCCUAGGCCCAAUUUCAGGUAGCCUCUUCAUC
rnacentral:lncRNA from 1 species